rnacentral:rRNA from 1 species
GACGAACGCUGGCGGCGUGCUUAACACAUGCAAGUCGAGCGGUAAGGCCCUUUCGGGGGUACGACGAGCGGCGAACGGGUGAGUAACACGUGGGUGACCUGCCCUCAGCUCUGGGAUAAGCCUGGGAAACCGGGUCUAAUACCGGAUAUGACUCCAUGACGCAUGUUGUGGGGUGGAAAGCCUUGUGCGGCUGAGGGUGGGCCCGCGGCCUAUCAGCUUGUUGGUGGGGUGAUGGCCACCAAGGCGACGACGGGUAGCCGGCCUGAGAGGGCGACCGGCCGACACUGGGACUGAGACACGGCCCAGACUCCUACGGGAGGCAGCAGUGGGGAAUCUUGCGCAAUGGGCGAAAGCCUGACGCAGCGACGCCGCGUGAGGGAUGACGGCCU